ensembl:snRNA U6 U6 spliceosomal RNA
GUGCUCGCUUCGGCAGCGCAUAUACUAAAAUUAGAAUGAUACAGAGAAGAUUAGCGGGCCCCUGCGCAAGGGUGGCACGCAAAUUCAUGAAGCGUUCUAUAUUUUU